AUCCAGCUAAUGAGUCCCAAACAGAACAAAGCACGUGUCCUGGAU
rfam:Schistosoma rodhaini strain Burundi genome assembly, scaffold: SROB_scaffold0004066